GGGGCGAGGAAAGGGUGGUUUGCCAUAGGUGAGGCCUCCUGGGGCAGGAGGAGGGGCCAGCUUCUCACUUCUGCAGCUCUUAGGUCAGUGUCCUAUGGGGUGGCCUCCCACCCCUGCCAUUCUGGGGCCCUUAGGGGAUGUCUGGGAGGGUGGUGGUAGGGGGCAUGGGAGGGCCCUAGCAUUGUACCCUGCACACACAAUAAACAAGAGAAACACAGACUUCUGGAGAUCACCUGCCUGAAGUUCUCAAACUUGGGAUGGGGCUGGAAGCAGCCAGGGGGAGAAACCCCAGAACAAGCCGACAUGCCUUCCCGAGACCUGGGGCCAGGCCUGGCAGCUCAAGUACCCGUGAGUUUGCUCUGGCCUCCUCCCUGGGCUCCCAGACCCAUCUGAGCAGGAAUCCCAGAAUUAUUUCCCUGAAAAACCUUGCCGAGACUUCUCUUUCAACUGCCAGGCACCGUCCCAGGCAUAGGGACCCGGAAGGCGGGCCAGCUGUCCUGUGCCGCCUACCCGCUGGAAGCCCAUCUUGUGUGAGGACCAGACUGGCUGAGUGAGCGGCUCAGGGUCGCACAGACCCAGCGGCAGGCCAGGCUGGACCCUGGUUGGGGGGCUGGCUGGUUCAGGGAGUCUGGGGGCGCUCUGGAGGGACCCCCCCCAACACCAGGAGACGCCACUGAAACCCGAGCGCCAGGCGCUCCCCAGAGCAGCUCCCGCUGCAGGCGGGAGGAGGGGAGGAGACGGGAGGAGACGGGAGGAGAAGGGAGAGGGGGCGCGGUAUUUCCAGCCUCCGUGACUCACUGAUUCCACUGGGCUAUUUGCAGCCCCGAAACUCACGGGCGCGGGGGUUGGGCGUGGAGCCGGGCUAGCUUCCCCGUCUCCUUCGACCCCCCACCCACGGACAGGCUCACCUUGGCUUCGAGACCCCAGCGAUGUCCCUCCCUGGGUCGCGAAGGGGGCGGGGGCUGGGAGGCGGGCAGCCGGGACUGGGAAAAGGGGCAGCUCCCCCUACGUGGGCGGUGGGGCCCGAAUACGCCCCACCCCCCAAGCCCCAGCAGCCCUCUCCCCAGACCGAGGUUUGGGGAGAUGACGAUUUAGCAGGGCACAAAGCAGAAGCUGUGUCCGAGAGAGCCCUCCCACCAAGGUGACCCUGCGGAGGAGGACGGCGGGGAGGUGGGGACGGCAGGCCCUUUUUCAUCGGCCCCGCCCCCGUGGGCUCCCGGGCUGGCCCUGGCGCUUUGUCUCCCCGGGGGGGCCCCCACCCUUUCCUGGCUAAAUAUAGGUCUGGCUACAGGCCCUGCGUCCCACCCCACCCCCACCCCGUGAAGAAUAAUUUUAGCAGCCCCAUUCAUUGAGCGCUUAGUGUGUGCCAAGCAUACUGCUCAUCCCCACAAUAGUUCUGCAAGGUAGGUACCAGAGAGGUUCAGAGAGGUCAAGCAACCAUCCCAAGGUCACCCAGCUUGGAAAUGGCAUGGUUGGGAUUUGAAUCCUUGUCAUAUGGCUCUAGAAAGUUCUCUGCUGAGUCUAGAAAGUCCAAAUCAGCCCCUCCUCCCCGCUCCCCUCAACACAACACCACCUGAGGAUUAAGUCAGCUCCCCUGCCCCAACCUGGCAUCCUGUACAGGGAAUGCAAACUUGUACAUCUUAUAUAGUUUUUGAAGCAGGCCUGGGCAGGAGGGCAGGGGAAGUUGAAAAGAUGCAGCCUUCCAGGGCUGGAGACCUGAGAGAAGGUCCAGGUCCCGCAGUGCCAGAGACCCAGAAGGGUGCCAAGGACCUAGAAAGUUCCAUCUCGUUCAGGUCCAAAGCUGCCUCCUCCAGAAAGCCUUCUACAGCUACCAACUCAGGGGCACAGACAAGCCCAAAGAACCCUAGGCCCAGACUUGGUGUUCAAAAGAAAGUGAAACUCAGAUGACAGGGGGUGCUUGACUGAGGGUAAGGGCAGACCCUGAGAUCA